UGAAAUCAGCACAUCGCAAAAAGUGAGA
rnacentral:sRNA from 1 species